CAAGCAAUGAAGUAAAAAUUACAUUUAGCUUCGACCUAACUAUAGAGAAAAUAUCUCCUUGCUUGU
rnacentral:tRNA from 1 species